UACAGAGGUCCCAAGCGUUGUUCGGAUUCACUGGGCGUAAAGGGUGCGUAGGUGGUGAGGUAAGUCGGAUGUGAAAUCUCCGAGCUCAACUCGGAAACUGCAUUGGAAACUACCUUGCUCGAGGGUUGGAGGGGGGACUGGAAUGCUUGGUGUAGCAGUGAAAUGCGUAGAUAUCAAACGGAACACCAGUGGCGAAGGCGAGUCCCUGGACAACUCCUGACACUGAUGCACGAAAGCUAGGGGAGCAAACGGG
rnacentral:rRNA from 1 species